GUGAGGAAUUUUCCGCAAUGGGCGAAAGCCUGACGGAGCAAUGCCGCGUGAAGGAUGAAGGCCUAUGGGUUGUAAACUUCUUUUCUCAGAAAAGAAUUAUGACGGUAUCUGAGGAAUAAGCAUCGGCUAACUCUGUACCAGCAGCCGCGGUAAGACAGAGGAUGCAAGCGUUAUCCGGAAUGAUUGGGCGUAAAGCGUCUGUAGGUUGUUUAAAAAGUAUUCUGUCAAAGAUUAGGGCUUAACCCUAGAUAGGCAGAAUAAACUUUUAAGCUAGAGUUUGGUAGAGGCAGAGGGAAUUCCCGGUGGAGCGGUGAAAUGCGUAGAUAUCGGGAGGAACACCAAAGGCGAAGGCACUCUGCUGGGCCAAUACUAACACUGAGAGACGAAAGCGAGGGGAGCAAAUGGGAUUAGAAACCCGGGUAGUCC
rnacentral:rRNA from 1 species